CAGGACGAACGCUGGCGGCGUGCUUAACACAUGCAAGUCGAACGAGAGGAGAAGGAAGCUUGCUUCUUUCAAAUCUAGUGGCAAACGGGUGAGUAACACGUAAACAACCUGCCUUCAGGAUGGGGACAACAGACGGAAACGACUGCUAAUACCGAAUACGUUCCUUAGGUCGCAUGAUCUUAGGAAGAAAGGGUGGCCUCUACCUGUAAGCUAUCACUUAGAGAUGGGCUCGCGUCUGAUUAGCUAGAUGGUGAGGUAACGGCCCACCAUGGCGACGAUCAGUAGCCGGACUGAGAGGUUGAACGGCCACAUUGGGACUGAGACACGGCCCAGACUCCUACGGGAGGCAGCAGUGGGGAAUAUUGCACAAUGGGGGGAACCCUGAUGCAGCGAUGCCGCGUGGAGGAAGAAGGUUUUCGGAUUGUAAACUCCUGUCUUAAGGGACGAUAAUGACGGUACCUUAGGAGGAAGCUCCGGCUAACUACGUG
rnacentral:rRNA from 1 species